ensembl:lncRNA
UACUUUGUGUUAUGGGUUGUUUCCUCAGAGUGUUACUAGUCUGUAGAAAACACUUUUGACAUUACAGGGAAUGAGACCUACAAUUAAAUUUACACAGUGUUUUCCAUUAUAAUUUCCUGUUACCAGUACAGAUUUUAGCUUUACUGUAUUCCUUUGAACUGUAUAGAGAUUAUUUAUGUUGAGUAUCAACAAAGCUCUGAGUGGUACAGUUUCUGAGAAUGAUAUUAGGUAUUCAAGUGAUGCUACUGGUGAUUAAAAUUGAUCCCUUUUCUUAGUUCAGUUUCUUAUUUGAUAUCUUCUGAAUAGAUCAAGGUAAGGAGAAUUUAAUAAAAGUGCAAUAGUUACUUAUAUAUUAGUCUACUGGCAUAAACUGCGAGGUGCCUCAUGGAAAAAAUGUACUCAUCAACUGUGGAAACUAAAGCUUCCUUUUUUUGCUGAUGGCUGCAAAACUGAAUCAACUAAUUGACUCCAUCUAUAUUUUUACAGUUGGCUUCUACCAGAUUCUGAAGUUGUUCUUGAAUUUCUGUUUCAUGCUUCAAGAACACACUGCCUCUGAAAAUGGUCUGAUCACCAUUAUGCUGCUCCUUGUGGAUGGGAUCGAAUGACUGCCCUGUUCCCUUCACCUGUGAAAUUUCAGAGAUGACUUGAAAAGGGCCAUUGUUUCCCAGGAAUGCCAGGCCUAGUCCAGGAAAGAGAGUCCUCAUUUCAGCAGGAAUUUGGAGUCUGCUUGAGAAGGCCUCGCAGUGAGUAGGUGAAAGCUAUGGCACUUUCAUUAAACCUCUGAACAUUUAUAGUGGCUGGGCCUCGCCCUUUCUGGGCUCUUCUGCUUCCCCUGCCGAGUGGGUGGGAAGGGAAGGAGAAGGAAGGCUUCACCACUGCACCGCUGGGCCUGAGCUGUGCUCAGCCUCCGCACACAGCAUUCUCUGUUCCUGCCUCUUCCCGAGCAUUUAGAGCACUCGUGUGCUUUCAUGUGAGUAGGGCUGUGUUUGUGUGUUGGUGUAUUUGUGAGAGUGAGCAUUUGGAAAAACAUUUCUGGUAGAUGAUUGUGGUAUUUGAGUACAAGGAACAAAUACAGUGAACGCAUUCAAGUUCAGACAGAUGAUGCCUGCUUCAACAAAUUCAAUGUCACUUCUAGGGUGAAAACUGGGAACAGAAGCUAUGAGAAUACUUUGGGGUUUAAAACCAUUUGAAACACAAGCACACAAGCAACAAAAUACACUUGGACAAGCCCACAAUUUUGUUAUCUAAAUUUAAUAUCUUGUAGGAUUUCUGGGAUAUUUUGUGCAGAAUGAGUCGAGAAUGUUUGCUAGGAUGGACUGAUGAUGCUAAUAAUCCUUAUUAGGAGUAUUUGAGUUACUGUCAUGAACUCUUUAAUGCAUUGCACAGUAGAUGCAGAACGCAAAUGUGAAAUACAAAGUGAUAAUGAAUAAUAUUAUUAAAUUUGUAACCAGAUGGGUAGGGGAAAGAAAGUCUUCAAAGGGUUUUUCAACCUGUUUUUCAAAGGAAGGAAGAAUCUGACCUGAAUAUGAACUGAUGAUAAUAAGUACUGUGCUUAGUGAGCUGAAGAACUGGAAAAUUUAUUUUUUGUACAAAUACAUUUUUUCUGUUUUGGUUUCAGACCUCAUUUAAUCUCCAAAUGGUAACACUAUUGACGUUAAAUACUCAGAUUCUAAUAAACUGACUGUGACUGUUUUCUGAAAGUAUGGC